CGGCCCCUUACACUUGUUGGUGGGGUGAUGGCCUACCAAGGCGACGACGGGUAGCCGGCCUGAGAGGGCGACCGGCCACACUGGGACUGAGACACGGCCCAGACUCCUACGGGAGGCAGCAGUGGGGAAUAUUGCACAAUGGGCGAAAGCCUGAUGCAGCGACGCCGCGUGAGGGAUGACGGCCUUCGGGUUGUAAACCUCUUUCAGCAGGGAAGAAGCGAGAGUGACGGUACCUGCAGAAGAAGCGCCGGCUAACUACGUGCCAGCAGCCGCGGUAAUACGUAGGGCGCAAGCGUUGUCCGGAAUUAUUGGGCGUAAAGAGCUCGUAGGCGGCUUGUCGCGUCGGAUGUGAAAGCCCGGGGCUUAACCCCGGGUCUGCAUUCGAUACGGGCAGGCUAGAGUUCGGUAGGGGAGAUCGGAAUUCCUGGUGUAGCGGUGAAAUGCGCAGAUAUCAGGAGGAACACCGGUGGCGAAGGCGGAUCUCUGGGCCGAUACUGACGCUGAGGAGCGAAAGCGUGGGGAGCGAACAGGAUUAGAUACCCUGGUAGUCCACGCCGUAAACGUUGGGAACUAGGUGUGGGCGACAUCCACGUCGUCCUC
rnacentral:rRNA from 1 species